rnacentral:rRNA from 1 species
CAAAGCACUUUGAAGAGAGAGUUAAAGAGGACGUGAAACCGGCAUGAUGGAAACGGAUAGAGCUGGUGAAGCGGUUCGUAUUCAACCGAAUGCUGUGGCCUAACAGUCAUUUGCUUAGGUGCAUUUGCGGACAACUGCGCUGAGACUUGUAGGGAAGCGGCUGGACCCUGAUCAAGAGGCUUUCCUUUGGAUUGAACCCUGGUCUGGCUACUACUGUUUUCCCUGCCCGUACCAUGUGGCAAGGCAUACGGGCGAAGCUGACUUUGGUGUUCUCUCAAGCUGACAUCGCAUGCGAUGUCGACUGAAACGAGCACCGGCUUUGGUGGAGCUCUCGAGCCACUUCUCGGUGUAGAAGCCGGUCAUCUAUCCGACCCGUCUUGAAACACGGACCAAGGAGUUUAGCGUAUGCGCGAGCCGAUGGGCGUUUAAAACCCACAGGCAGAAUGAAAGUGAAGGCUCGGUCGCUGAGCUGACAUGCGACCAUCGGAGAUUCGUCGCCGGUGGGCAGCAUGGUCCCGUUCUGGCCGCUUGCGGCAGAGCGGCGACAGAGCGUAUGCGCUGAGACCCGAAAGAUGGUGAACUAUUCCUGAGCAGGACGAAGCCAGAGG